UUCUGAUAAGUUCCAGAUAUUUAGUUUAUCUUUAAAUGUUAAAAAAUCUACAUUUUAUUGUGUUCACUAGUAAGAAUGAGAAAUGAUGUGUUACAUAAUUAAAACAUAAUAAUAAUAAAAGAGUGAAUCUGAAUGUUUGGGAAUGAAAUGGAUCCCCUGGAUUCCUCUGAGUUGUAACAGUUAUCCUGGAACCAUCACAUUCAAUAUGUCUGCAGCAAAGUGACGAAAUGUGUUGGUAUCAGGGGGUUGGCAUCAGGGGGUUGGCAUCAGGGGGGUUGGCAUCAGGGGUUGGCAUCAGGGGGUUGGCAUCAGGGGGUUGGUUCAUCAGGCUUCUUAACUCUAUAUUAGAGCUUCAUUUACCCAGAUCUCAGUCACUGUAAUAUUGUCUGUGCAUAUGCCUCCUACCUACACCCUCAUUAUACAAAAUACAUUUACAAGACAACCCACCUCCUCUCUAAUUACCUGGCUCCACCUGCACCUUUGUUUAAGAAACUCAAUAUUCUGUCUACUUAGGACAUUAAUGUACACCAAUUCGUACAAAUACUCAUACCUCGAAGACAGUUUACCUACACCCUUCAAUGGAUUCUUCUAGGUCCCAGUUUACCUAAACCCUUCAAUGGAUUCUUCAGGUCCCAGACAGUUUACCUAAACCCUUCAAUGGAUUCUUCUAGGUCCCAGUUUACCUAAACCCUUCAAUGGAUUCUUCUAGGUCCCAGUUUACCUACACCCUUCAAUGGAUUCUUCUAGGUCCCAGUUUACCUAAACCCUUCAAUGGAUUCUACCAGGUCCCAGACAGUUCACCUACACCCUUCAAUGGAUUCUUCUAGGUCCCAGUUUACCUAAACCCUUCAAUGGAUUCUUCUAGGUCCCAGUUUACCUACACCCUUCAAUGGAUUCUACCAGGUCCCAGUUUACCUAAACCCUUCAAUGGAUUCUACCAGGUCCCAGUUCACCUAAACCCUUCAAUGGAUUCUUCUAGGUCCCAGUUUUCCUACACCCUUCAAUGGAUUCUUCUAGGUCCCAGUUCACCUAAACCCUUCAAUGGAUUCUUCUAGGUCCCAGUUCACCUAAACCCUUCAAUGGAUUCUACCAGGUCCCAGUUCACCUACACCCUUCAAUGGAUUCUUCUAGGUCCCAGUUUACCUAAACCCUUCAAUGGAUUCUUCUAGGUCCCAGUUUACCUAAACACUUCAAUGGAUUCUUCUAGGUCCCAGUUUACCUAAACCCUUCAAUGGAUUCUACCAGGUCCCAGACAGUUCACCUACACCCUUCAAUGGAUUCUUCUAGGUCCCAGUUUCCCUAAACCCUUCAAUGGAUUCUUCUAGGUCCCAGUUUACCUAAACCCUUCAAUGGAUUCUUCUAGGUCCCAGUUUACCUAAACCCUUCAAUGGAUUCUACCAGGUCCCAGACAGUUCACCUACACCCUUCAAUGGAUUCUUCUAGGUCCCAGUUUACCUAAACCCUUCAAUGGAUUCUACCAGGUCCUAGUUCACCUACACCCUUCAAUGGAUUCUUCUAGGUCCCAGUUUACCUAAACCCUUCAAUGGAUUCUACCAGGUCCCAGUUUCCCUAAACCCUUCAAUGGAUUCUUCUAGGUCCCAGUUUACCUAAACCCUUCAAUGGAUUCUACCAGGUCCCAGUUUACCUAAACCCUUCAAUGGAUUCUACCAGGUCCCAGUUCACCUAAACCCUUCAAUGGAUUCUUCUAGGUCCCAGUUCACCUAAACCCUUCAAUGGAUUUUUCUAGGUCCCAGUUUUCCUACACCCUUCAAUGGAUUCUUCUAGGUCCCAGUUUUCGUACACCCUUCAAUGGAUUCUUCUAGGUCCCAGUUCACCUAAACCCUUCAAUGGAUUCUUCUAGGUCCCAGUUUACCUAAACCCUUCAAUGGAUUCUUCUAGGUCCCAGUUUACCUACACCCUUCAAUGGAUUCUACCAGGUCCCAGUUUACCUAAACCCUUCAAUGGAUUCUACCAGGUCCCAGUUCACCUAAACCCUUCAAUGGAUUCUUCUAGGUCCCAG
ensembl:lncRNA